rnacentral:SRP_RNA from 1 species
GCCGAAAGGCUAGGACAAUGGCGGGCUAGUGAAUUGUGUCAGAUCCGGAAGGAAGCAGCACUAAGCAAGUGCCGCCAUGUGUCUGAUUGAAUAAGGAACGUAUCAAGGCUGAGAAGCCUUUUUUAUUUUAUCUAAAAUUAAAAAGACAGGAAAGUUGGUCGCUUUCCUGUCUUUU